UUUUUAUGGAGAGUUUGAUCCUGGCUCAGAGUGAACGCUGGCGGCGUGCCUAAUACAUGCAAGUCGAACGAUGAAGCUUCUAGCUUGCUAGAAGUGGAUUAGUGGCGCACGGGUGAGUAAGGUAUAGUUAAUCUGCCCUACACAAGAGGACAACAGUUGGAAACGACUGCUAAUACUCUAUAUUCCUACUUAACACAAGUUGAGUAGGGAAAGUUUUUCGGUGUAGGAUGAGACUAUAUAGUAUCAGCU
rnacentral:rRNA from 1 species